AGGGCAGAGGGCUGAGGACUUUUGCAAUUUCCCGUCCUGCUGCGCACUCUUGGCACUCCUGGGACCCACAGGAAUUCUCCCCCUUUGAGUCCCCGGGGGGAAGCGGCUGGGACCUCGCGGGAGGCGGACGACACCCCGCGGAGGAAGAGGGAAAUUUGGACGCACACACCCAGGAAGAAUGCUGUCUGAAUACUGAGGCAGAGAUUGGAGUUAUCCUGCCUCAAGCCAAAGAAUGCCAAGAAUUGCUGGCCACCCACAGAAGCCAGGAGCAAGGUGCAGAACAGAUUCUCCCUCUGAGCCCCUAAUGUUGCAGGAUCGCAGGGUUCUCGCUGGAGUCGAAGAAUGAAUCUCACGGACACGAAAGAGUGAAGUGAAGUGAACUUCUAUUAAGUGAAGUGUUUGGUAACCACCCUGAUGGAGUUGGAAGGAACUGGGAGUUUCCUGAAGAAAGGGGCUUCAUCAGGU